rnacentral:tRNA from 1 species
GGAGAGGUGGCAGAGCGGUUGAAUGCGCCGGAUUCGAAAUCCGGUUGGGCCUUCGGGUCCACGGGGGUUCGAAUCCCCCCCUCUCCG